AUUGAACGCUGGCGGCAGGCCUAACACAUGCAAGUCGAGCGAGCGGCGGACGGGUGAGUAAUGUCUGGGAAACUGCCUGAUGGAGGGGGAUAACUACUGGAAACGGUAGCUAAUACCGCAUACCAUCAGAUGUGCCCAGAUGGGAUUAGCUAGUAGGUGGGGUAACGGCUCACCUAGGCGACGAUCCCUAGCUGGUCUGAGAGGAUGACCAGCCAGACUGGACGUGAAACACGGUCCAGUCUAAAACGGUAGGAAGCAGUGGGGAAUAUUGCACAAUGGGCGAAAGCCUGAUGCAUCCAUGCCGCGGGUGUGAAGAAGGCCUUCGGGUUGUAAAGCACUUUCAGCGUGGAGGCGUUACCCGAAGAAGAAGCACCUGCUAACUCCGUGCCAGCAGCCGCGGUAAUAC
rnacentral:rRNA from 1 species